rnacentral:rRNA from 1 species
CUGGCUCAGGACGAACGCUGGCGGCGUGCUUAACACAUGCAAGUCGAGCGGAAAGGCCCUUCGGGGUACUCGAGCGGCGAACGGGUGAGUAACACGUGAGCAACCUGCCCCCGACUCUGGGAUAAGCCCGGGAAACUGGGUCUAAUACCGGAUACGACCACUCCAGGCAUCUGGUGGUGGUGGAAAGUUUUUUCGGUCGGGGAUGGGCUCGCGGCCUAUCAGCUUGUUGGUGGGGUAGCGGCCUACCAAGGCGACGACGGGUAGCCGGCCUGAGAGGGCGACCGGCCACACUGGGACUGAGACACGGCCCAGACUCCUACGGGAGGCAGCAGUGGGGAAUAUUGCACAAUGGGGGAAACCCUGAUGCAGCGACGCCGCGU